AACCCAAUUAUUCUCUCCAUGGGCCCCACCAAUCAGAAUUAAUUUCCCUCAUUCACGCUCCCCCCACACACACACUCGACCAUCUCUCUCUUUCUUCUGACUCUCCUUCUUCUCAUUAUCUUCUCUUCACUUUUAUUUCCUCUGCAACCCUAAACUACUCAUCAUCACCAACACACGAUCUUCUUCUCCCAUGGCAGCCGCCACUGAGUCCAGAGCCGCCGCCGCCACCACCACCACCAUGUGCCAACCGCCACCUCCACGCCCUAAUCCUCACGCAACCAUGAACAAGCCACCAUGGUCACCACCACCAAACCCUAGCCGCCACCUUCAAAGCCCGAUCUCCGGCGAACCAUUCAGUUUUUUGGAGAAACUAAUAUCACCACUGAACUCCCCUCAACAUCCGCUUCAAAACCCCUCUAUCGAUUCGAUGAUCGGCCACCGUGACUCCGGCGACCGCCUCCGCCGCCGUCUUCUCCGGCGAGCUUUGUUCUGAGAAAGGAGGCCAUAUUUCUUGAAGCUCUCAACCUCCUCUUCCUGAAUCCAAGGCCCAAUCAUCAGGCUUGCUGGUCAUCAGAGGAAGAGAAGGCCAUGAACAGAGGAAGAAUUGAAGCUCAGUCCCAUGACCAUGAGACUUGAGGUAGAAGGAGAAAGACAUGGACUUUGUGCUUAAAAGUUUUGUGUCAAUAGGGCCCUUAUGCGUCUGUUGUUUGUGUGUGAGUAUUGGUGUCUUGGUUGUCCAUUACAAGGGCAUGCGAGUUCAGUUCUUAUUGCACUUGAAAGGUUUGGUGAAGGCCUACAUAAAAUUGUAGAUUUUGAAACGUAGCACCUUUGUGAAUGUACUGUUUCAUUUUAUUGGAAGUUAUGCAUGAUUAGGGAAUAAGUAAUAAUCAAUUUUAAAACUCUGAUUAUAUGGUA